rnacentral:rRNA from 1 species
UGGGGAAUUUUGGACAAUGGGGGAAACCCUGAUCCAGCCAUCCCGCGUGUGCGAUGAAGGCCUUCGGGUUGUAAAGCACUUUUGGCAGGAAAGAAACGUCACGGGUUAAUACCCCGUGAAACUGACGGUACCUGCAGAAUAAGCACCGGCUAACUACGUGCCAGCAGCCGCGGUAAUACGUAGGGUGCAAGCGUUAAUCGGAAUUACUGGGCGUAAAGCGUGCGCAGGCGGUUCGGAAAGAAAGAUGUGAAAUCCCAGAGCUCAACUUUGGAACUGCAUUUUUAACUACCGGGCUAGAGUGUGUCAGAGGGAGGUGGAAUUCCGCGUGUAGCAGUGAAAUGCGUAGAUAUGCGGAGGAACACCGAUGGCGAAGGCAGCCUCCUGGAAUAACACUGACGCUCAUGCACGAAAGCGUGGGGAGCAAACAGG